rnacentral:rRNA from 1 species
GGGCCCGCACAAGCGGUGGAGUAUGUGGUUUAAUUCGAUGCAACGCGAAGAACCUUACCAGCUCUUGACAUGGGGAUUUCGAAUUCUGUAGACAGAAUUCUUCGGUUCGGCCGGGUCCCACACAGGUGCUGCAUGGCUGUCGUCAGCUCGUGUCGUGAGAUGUUGGGUUAAGUCCCGCAACGAGCGCAACCCUUGUCCCUAGUUGCUAACAGCUUGGCUGAGAACUUUAGGGAGACUGCCGGUGACAAACUGGAGGAAGGAAAGGAUGACGUCAAGUCUUCAUGGCCCUUAUGGGCUGGGCUACACACGUGCUACAAUGGUGGUUACAAAGAGAAGCAAAGGGGCGACCCGGAGCAAAUCCCAUAAACCGUGGCUCAGUUCAGAUCGUAGGCUGCAACUCGCCUACGUGAAGGCGGAAUCGCUAGUAAUCG